rnacentral:rRNA from 1 species
GACGAACGCUGGCGGCGUGCUUAACACAUGCAAGUCGAACGGAAAGGCCUCUUUCGGGGGGUACUCGAGUGGCGAACGGGUGAGUAACACGUGAGUAACCUGCCCUUGACUUUGGGAUAACUUCAGGAAACUGGGGCUAAUACCGGAUAGGAGCUCCUGCUGCAUGGUGGGGGUUGGAAAGUUUCGGCGGUUGGGGAUGGACUCGCGGCUUAUCAGCUUGUUGGUGGGGUAGUGGCUUACCAAGGCUUUGACGGGUAGCCGGCCUGAGAGGGUGACCGGCCCCAUUGGGACUGAGAUACGGCCCAGACUCCUACGGGAGGCAGCAGUGGGGAAUAUUGCACCAUGGGUGGAAGCCUGAUGCAGCAACGCCGUGUGCGGGAUGACGGCCUUCGGGUUGUAAACCGCUUUCGCUCAUGACGAAGCUUUGUGUGACGGUAGUGGGUAAAGAAGCACCGGCUAACUACGUG